rnacentral:tRNA from 1 species
GGUGAGGUGUCCGAGUGGCUGAAGGAGCUCGCCUGGAAAGCGUGUAUACGGCAACGUAUCGAGGGUUCGAAUCCCUCCCUCACCGCCA